rnacentral:ncRNA from 1 species
AUAAUGAUACUUCCGUCUAUUCUUUGAAGGGCGGCUCGGAGCGAUCCUCGGAGGGUGAGAGUCCCAUGA